UAAUUUCAAAUUUAAAUUUGAAGAAUGUGAUAACACUCCUUAUGAGAACAACUUCAAAAUUUCAACUGACAAAACUGUUUGACAUUUUUCUAUGAUUACAAACAUCGCUUGUGUCAUCUCCUACAAUCAUCAACAACAAUUAUGUAUUUGCAAAUUAUUACACGUUUACCACGCUAUUUAAUUCAAUCAUAAAUAUUGCACGAGUUUCCCAAAGUUACAAAUUUACGUGGUCCGCAGGCUCUGGGGAAUUGUGCAGCACACCUCAAUGGAAAUAAAACACACAACAAAGCUGGAGCAAAAGGUGGAUUUCACAAUAUUUUUCCAGACAGUCAAUGGAAAAUGGGGCCGCAUUUCUUGAAGACAAAUUUUAGUUUCUAGUCAUAACUCCAUAUUCAUGUUAAUUGACAAAAGUGCAGCAGACAACAAAAAAUUCAAUUUAAAAGCAAAUAAUGUAAAUCAAUUCCAGUGAAUUGUGCAUAAAAAGUAUGAAAAGAAGAAGAGCUUGCGACUAAUACCUGUGUGUAUGUCAUUGUAGUAAAAUACAUUGCCGUUCAAGGUCAAAUAAUGCAGAGGGAAUUUAGCAAAGACACAAACCGAAUAUUACAUGACAUUGAAUAAGUGAAGAUUGUCGAACAACAACAACUACUACUACACUUCUGCGCGCCUGGUAAAAUGGCAGCUUAGUGAACACGUGAAAUUGAUUCUGUGAAACCGUUAGGAAAAUUAGAGGAGGUAGCUGCAUAAAAAGUGCUACAAGUACAAAACUAAAAAAUACAAAGUUUGUGAAAAAUAGUUUUAUAUUUAAUGUUUGUAUUCAAAGUGAAAUGAAGAUUACGCAGCUGUUAGUAAUAAUUUAAUAAGUACGGGAGAAGUGAAAAAAUUGUUACUUUCGUUAUAGUUGUGAGAAAUGCAUUCAUUAGUGGGCAAUCCAAGAAUAAUCAAUGUAUUAAAUUCAAUGAAAUUAAAACCAUUACAACAACGCCGCAAUAUAAUAUUUUGUUUACUUUGUUCACAUAAAUUGCUCCGUGGCAAAACAAAAAUAACAACGUAUGCACACCAAAAACAAACAUAUCAUGGACAGGAAUCAUUCAAUGUGUUUUGUGCUAUAUAAAAUUGGGCUGGGCGCCCUACUACUCUGCCUUGCUGUUUGUCUGGUAGAAUUAAGAUAUAUAUGUGUAUAGUUAACUUUACCUUUUUACUAAUUUAUUUAUUGUAUUUGCAGAAUACAUGCAUACUUAGCAAGGCUACGACGCAUCGGCUGAAUGUGUCUGUCCAUUAAUAUCGAAAAAGAAUUUGUUUUAAAAUAUUAAAAUUUAAUCAUAUAUUUUAGUUUUUUAUUUAAAAAGUAUUAUAUUUUUCCUAAUUUUUAUACAAAAUUUAAA